CUAAAGGCGUCCUUAGGUGAUCUCGUAAUUCCUAUAGGGUGGAGACGAUGGGGUCAUAUAAUAAAGUUUUUUUAUGGCUAAAUUACUGUGUCAAACUCUGAGGAGAAACAUGCAUUUUUGAGUUUAAAAGUGCUUUUGCUUUGUCGAAUAUCAGGUUGCUGACCCAGAAUAUUUUUCAGGGGCCUAACAACUUUUUGCAAGAUGGGUCCACAAGCCACAAUCAUAUUCAUAGCCUGGGAGAAGUCCAUUUUCAUGCCAUUUCUUUCUCAAUCGAGAUCUUAGCUGCCCGAUCACCCCAUCGAACAUUGGGGUGGCUUCUAGGAAGGUUGUUUAUAUAUUUAACUUGCAUUGACAACGUCAGGCUAUGACAUGAAGGAAGGUGAGAAAAAUCCAUUCGAUUUUUGUUUCACCUUCAUCCUCUAGAGGUCAAACUCAAGUCUAGUCUAGCUCGACGAAGCUUCGCAUGCAGUGUAAAAUAAGUUUCCUGAAGGCUUAAUUGGUUAGAGACAUAUUGAAGUGGCAGUCCUUCCUUGAUUUACAAUUUAAUUGAAUUCAAAGGGAGUUGGCUUUGGUUUUGGUUUGGAGUUGGACUACAGCUAUCAUGACAGGCGCUGAAUGAGCACAUUGAACUAUUCAUGUGGCUGAAAGCCCUCACAACCUAGGCACAA